rnacentral:misc_RNA from 1 species
CCGAUUCAUUGGAUGUGCUGGCUAACGUGCGUUAGUAUUGUGCACUCCAAACCUCCUACCCCUGUGCACUAUUCCCAUUAGCAAUUUGAAAAUAACUAGAAGUCUGCAAAGAUUUCAAAGUAAAUUCAUUUAGCUUUUGGUUUUUAUAUACACUGUUAUUAUGAAUGUAUCAUAGGCUUGUUAAUUCAAGUCAAUAUUAUUAAAA